GGAAAAACGGGGCAAGAUACAGGGGUAAUGUGGAGGUGGUAGGGGUUUUCAGGAUUUAUUGGGUUUAAAGGGUACGUUGGCGGAAGUAUAAGUCAGUGGUGAAAGCCUGUGGCAUAACGAUAGAACUGCCAUUGAUACUGUAAGUCUUGAGUAUAAUUGAGGUAGCUGGAAUAAGUAGUGUAGCGGGGAAAUGCAUAGAUAGUACUUAGAACACCAAUUGCGAAGGCAGGUUACCAAGUUAUAACUGACGCUGAGGGACGAAAGCGUGGGGAGCGAACAGGAUUAGAUACCCUAGUAGUC
rnacentral:rRNA from 1 species